GAUGAACGCUGGCGGCGUGCUUAACACAUGCAAGUCGAGCGGAAAGACGCGAAGCUUGCUUGUCUCAUGUUAGCCGCGCGCGUGUGAAUAACACGUGUAUACCGUACUUAUAAGUCUGGGAUCACUAGGGGAAACCGGAGCAAAUACCAUAUGAUCUUUUGCUCCACGGGGUGCGAAGGAAAGUUACGGUCUUUGUGUCUCUAAUCGCUGGUUCCCCGCUGCAUUGGCUAGUUGGUAAGGUCACGGCUUAUCACGGCGACGAUGCGUAGCCGACCUGAGGGGAGGAUCGGCCACACUGGAACUGAGACACGGACCAGACGCCUACGGGAGGCAGCAGUAGGGAAUCGUCGGCAAUGGGCGGAAGCCUUACGGAGCAACGCCGCGUGAGUGAUGAAGGCCUUCGGUUCGUAAAACCCUGUUAUGAGGGACGAACAGAUGUCUAAGUAAACGAGGAGAUAUUGACGGUACCUGGUCAAAAAGCACCGGCUAACUACGUG
rnacentral:rRNA from 1 species